AGUUUGAUCCUGGCUCAGGUUGAACGCUGGCGGAAUGCUUUACACAUGCAAGUCGAGCGGCAGCGCGGGGCAACCUGGCGGCGAGCGGCGAACGGGUGAGUAACAUAUCGGAACGUAUCCAUAAGUGGGGGACAACCUAGCGAAAGUUAGGCUAAUACCGCAUACGCAGGGAACUGGAAAGUGGGGGAUCGCAAGACCUCACGCUUUAGGAGCGGCCGAUAUCAGAUUAGCUUGUUGGUGAGGUAAAGGCUCACCAAGGCGACGAUCUGUAGACUGGUCUGAGAGGAUGAUCAGCCACACUGGGACUGAGACACGGCCCAGACUCCUACGGGAGGCAGCAGUGGGGAAUUUUGGACAAUGGGGGCAACCCUGAUCCAGCCAUUCCGCGUGAGUGAAGAAGGCCUUCGGGUUGUAAAGCUCUUUUGUUCGGGACGAAACGGUUAAGGCUAAUAGGCCUUGACUANUGACGGUACCGGAAGAAUAUGCACCGGCUAACUACGUGCCAGCAGCCGCGGUAAUACCUANGGUGCGAGCGUAAUCGGAAUUACUGGGCGUAAGCGUGCGCCUGCGGUUUAUAACCAGUGUGAAUCCCCGGCUCUCCUGGGAUGCUUGGGACUGUNGACUUAGUUGCUAGAUACUACUCCUGUGUUCNUGUAUCGUUAUUCGGAGGAUCC
rnacentral:rRNA from 1 species